ACGUAGGGAGCAAGCGUUGUUCGGAAUCACUGGGCGUAAAGAGAGCGUAGGCGGGAAAGUAAGUUAGAAGUGAAAUGUAUCGGCUCAACCGGUAAACUGCUUUUAAUACUGCUUUUCUUGAGUAUGGGAGAGGAAGAUGGAAUUCCAGGUGUAGCGGUGGAAUGCGUAGAUAUCUGGAAGAACACCAAUUGCGAAGGCGGUCUUCUGGCCCAAUACUGACGCUGAGGCUCGAAAGCUAGGGGAGCGAACAGG
rnacentral:rRNA from 1 species